AACGCGAAGAACCUUACCUGGGCUUGAACCGCUACUGACCAAGGGUAGAAAUAUCCUCUUCCCGCAAGGGACAGUAGUAGAGGUGCUGCAUGGCUGUCGUCAGCUCGUGUCGUGAGAUGUUGGGUUAAGUCCCGCAACGAGCGCAACCCUUGUCCAUAGUUACUAACGGGUAGUGCCGAGAACUCUAUGGAGACUGCCGGUGAUAAACCGGAGGAAGGUGGGGAUGACGUCAAGUCCUCAUGGCCUUUAUGUCCAGGGCUACACACGUGCUACAAUGGGCGGUACAAAGAGUUGCGAUCCCGCGAGGGGGAGCUAAUCUCAAAAAACCGCUCUCAGUUCGGAUUGCAGUCUGCAACUCGACUGCAUGAAGCUGGAAUCGCUAGUAAUCGCGGAUCAGCACGCCGCGGUGAAUACGUUCCCGGGCCUUGUACACACCGAUACUC
rnacentral:rRNA from 1 species